UACGGAGGGUGCGAGCGUUGUCCGGAAUCACUGGGCGUAAAGGGCGCGUAGGCGGCUGGGGAAGUCGGCGGUGAAAGCCCGGAGCUCAACUCCGGGUCGGCCGUCGAGACUCCUCGGCUCGAGCUCACUAGAGGCAGAUGGAAUUCCGGGUGUAGCGGUGGAAUGCGUAGAGAUCCGGAGGAACACCGGUGGCGAAGGCGGUCUGCUGGGGUGAGGCUGACGCUGAGGCGCGACAGCGUGGGGAGCAAACAGG
rnacentral:rRNA from 1 species